UAGCUGCGUUAACUGGUGUGAAUUGCAGGACACGCCGAGCACUAAGUUUUCGAACGCAUAUUGCGGCUACGGGCCAUUCCCGUAGCCUCGUCUGUCUGAGGGUCGGUUUAAUAACGACUCAUCGUGAGAGUCUGCAUCGAGACACGGCCUUGUUGCAAGUCUCGUCAGACUUUGGUCGACGCGAUGUUUUCUGCUGAGAGUUGCAGCGGCAUCGGUCCGGCGCUACGUGUCGGUCCGCGCUACCGCUUUGGCUGACUGUUAGGCGAAUUCGUGCGUGCAAGCCAAAACUGUUGACUUCGGUCGACUUCAUUUUUGUCGACCUCAGAUCAGGCGAGAUUACCCGCUGAAUUUAA
rnacentral:misc_RNA from 1 species